rnacentral:rRNA from 1 species
CGGACGGGUGAGUAAUGUCUGGGAAACUGCCUGAUGGAGGGGGAUAACUACUGGAAACGGUAGCUAAUACCGCAUAACGUCGCAAGACCAAAGAGGGGGACCUUCGGGCCUCUUGCCAUCGGAUGUGCCCAGAUGGGAUUAGCUAGUAGGUAAGGUAACGGCUUACCUAGGCGACGAUCCCUAGCUGGUCUGAGAGGAUGACCAGCCACACUGGAACUGAGACACGGUCCAG